GUCAGAAGACACAUUCCAGCCAAUCAGCAGCAGACCCUCCCUCCCAGACCCUCCUACCUCCUGGACAGCAUCCAUUUUACAUUCAUUGUGAAGCUGCAUUCUUAGUGAGCUGUCCAGGAGGGGGGAGGGUCUGGGAGGGAGGGUCUGCUGCUGAUUGGCUGGAAUGUGUCUGAUG
rnacentral:miRNA from 1 species